rnacentral:rRNA from 1 species
UAAGGAAUAUUGCUCAAUGGGAGAAAUCCUGAAGCAGCAACGCCGCGUGGAGGAUGAAGGGUCUAUGACUUGUAAACUCCUGUAAAGAAGGAAAAAAUUCCCAUUAGAUGGGAGAUGAUGGUACUUCUGGAGUAAGCCCCGGCUAACUACGUGCCAGCAGCCGCGGUAAUACGUAGGGGGCAAGCGUUGUCCGGAUUUACUGGGUGUAAAGGGUGCUCAGGCGGAUUUGUAAGUCAGAGGUGAAAUCUUACAGCUUAACUGUGAAACUGCCUUUGAUACUGCAAGCCUAGAGUAUGGAAGAGAGAGAUGGAAUAUCAGGUGUAACAGUGAAAUGCGUAGAUAUCAGAUAGAACACCAAUGGCGAAGGCAGUCACUUGGUCCAUUACUGACGCUAAAGCACGAAAGCGUGGGUAGCAAACA